AUCUGGUUGAUCCUGCCAGUAGUCAUACGUUGUUUUCAAAGAUUAAGCCAUGCAUGUGUAAGUAUAAAUAAUUUUACUUUGAAACUGCGAAUGGCUCAUUAUAUCAGUUAUAGUUUAUUAGAAAUAUUUUACUACUUGGAUAACCGUAGUAAUUCUAGGGCUAAUACAUGAGUAAAACCUCAACUUCGGAAGAGGUGUGUUUAUUAGUAUGAAAACCAUAUAUCUUCGGAUAUAAUAGUGAGUAAUAAUAACCUUUCAUAUCGUAUGUCGUAAGAUAACGAUAGUUCUUUCAAGUUUCUGCCCUAUCAGCUUUCGAUGGUAGUAUAUGGGACUACCAUGGCAGUAACGGGUAACGAAGAAUUUGGGUUCGAUUUCGGAGAGGGAGCCUGAGAGAUGGCUACCACAUCCAAGGAAGGCAGCAGGCGCGUAAAUUACCCAAUCCUGACAUAGGGAGGUAGUGACAAUAAAUCACAAUGCGGAACUUUUAGUUUUGCAAUUGGAUUGAGAACAAUGUACAAAUGUUAUCGAUAAACAAUUGGAGGGCAAGUCUGGUGCCAGCAGCCGCGGUAAUUCCCGCUCCAAUAACGUAUAUUAACGUUGUUGCAGUUAAAAAGCUC
rnacentral:rRNA from 1 species